CCUGCUCCUAGAGGUUUGCAGAUAUGGCUGCUGUGUCAUUUGUGCGUCAGUAGGUGGCAGAGAAGUUAUGUCUAUACUCAGUGUUAAAGCUUGUGAACUGCUGAAUGAUUCAUAGCUGAAGAUU
rnacentral:snoRNA from 1 species